GACGAACGCUGGCGGCGUGCCUAAUACAUGCAAGUCGAACGAGAGCGCCCGGUGCUUGCACUGGUCAAUCUAGUGGCGAACGGGUGAGUAACACGUGGGUAACCUGCCCAUCAGAGGGGGAUAACAUUCGGAAACGGAUGCUAAAACCGCAUAGGUCUUCGAACCGCAUGGUUUGAAGAGGAAAAGAGGCGCAAGCUUCUGCUGAUGGAUGUACCCGCGGUGCAUUAGCUAGUUGGUGAGGUAACGGCUCACCAAGGCCGUGAUGCAUAGCCGACCUGAGAGGGUGAUCGGCCACAUUGGGACUGAGACACGGCCCAAACUCCUACGGGAGGCAGCAGUAGGGAAUCUUCCGCAAUGGACGCAAGUCUGACGGAGCAACGCCGCGUGAGUGAAGAAGGUUUUCGGAUCGUAAAACUCUGUUGUUAGAGAAGAAUAAGUGCUAGAGUAACUGUUAGCGCCUUGACGGUAUCUAACCAGAAAGCCACGGCUAACUACGUG
rnacentral:rRNA from 1 species